UACGGAGGGUGCAAGCGUUAUCCGGAUUCACUGGGUUUAAAGGGUGCGUAGGCGGACUGUUAGGUCAGUGGUGAAAUCUCAGAGCUUAACUCUGAAACUGCCAUUGAUACUAUCAGUCUUGAAUGUUCUGGAGGUGAGCGGAAUAUGUCAUGUAGCGGUGAAAUGCUUAGAUAUGACAUAGAACACCAAUUGCGUAGGCAGCUCACUACGGAAAUAUUGACGCUGAGGCACGAAAGCGUGAGGAUCAAACAGG
rnacentral:rRNA from 1 species